CGACCCAACCAGCACGGGCCCACGUACUCCAAAACCGGAUAGGGAUGGGACGUAGGGUGUCGGUUAGGUAGGAGCGGAGCAGGGUGAGGGCGUGGUUGGUGGUGGGUUUGGGAUCGGGACAAAGGGACGCUAGGGGUGUCGGAGAGGGCGGAGGAGGUAGGGAGGAGGAGCGGAGCGGUACCGGAGGCGGGGCCCCGGAUCGGGGUGGUGAAGUGGAAGGAAAAGAAGCAACAGACGCGGGCAGUCGCUCCGGACCGAGGUCUAGUCCACGCCCAAUCCGCUCGAGCCACCACCCUACUUACCCGUCUCCUCCACCCGCUACUCCCGUCCGUUGUCAGCCCGCGCCGCCGGUACCGGUUCCCGCGCCGACCCCUCGAUGCGUGUGCAGCUCAUUGCCGCUGGCGUAGGCCACGGUUGUGGCUCGGCCUCGACCCAGCUCCUCGGCCGGAGACGGAAGCGGUAACGGACUCUCUUCGUUGUGGCUGCAACCCGAAAGGUACACGUCCUACUACUCCAUACCGUACCUUACCAACCCAAAACUCACCAUCCACUAGGGAUACGGCCGCCAGUAUCGCCGGUAGUAACGGUUCGUCAUCUUCUCUUACCAUUGGUUUCGGUGGAAACAACUAGUACCUAAAUCUUCUUUCGGUUGUCUCAUACUUUUCCAAGAGUACCCUGAGUGGGACUUGACUUUAGACACAAGUUGGAACCAUAUUAAGACACUGUUUUUGGGGUUCACCAGGUUAUAAAACAAAUAAAUCACGGACAACAAAAACCAAACAAUAUUGGCUUAAAUGUUGGAUGAUAAGUACGUAAAGAAAAUAAGACAAAACCACCCAAGAUUUGAUACUUUAAUCCUGAUAUCAAAUAAUCAAACUCUGGACGAAGACCUAUUUCUUACCUUCCUUCUUAAGAAUGAAGUACUACUGUGUGUACUAACAGUUUGAUGUCUUUUAUGAACUGAAUACAUGACAUACUAAGGGCUCAAGGAAACGAAAGUUCUAAAUUCACCCCCUUGAGCACUCGAAUACUUACUCACUAAGCCUAAAUAGAUUAACCCUUGAUCGUUUAGUACGUCUCAUUCCCAAAAAAGACGAGCAUAUCUAACCAACCAGCUAACGAACUAUGUAGUAUGGAAUUUGUAGUAUUGAAGACUAACCCCCCCGGACCAACUACGGGACAGACUACACUUAGAAAACCCUACGCGCCCAUAUAUGAAGGUGGUGAUAUAUGUUUUUACUCAUGACGGAAAUUGUACCCGUACUAUAAUUUAAACUCACUUAGAUUCCCGGAUGACCCACGUAUUAGACCCCGAUAUAAUAAAAUCUAAAAAAAACACACACGCUCCUCGUCAAGAUGUUAGAGAAGUACCAAGUAGUAAAUGUAUAAUCAACCUACUAUAGAAAAUUAGACAACACUGACUGAACGACGAAUAUACCUGUUUACUCAUGUUGUAAAUUGUACCCGUACUACAAUUUAAACUCACUUAUAUUCCCGGAUGACCGACGUAUUAGACACCGAUAAAAAACACACAGACGCUCCUCGUUAAGAUGAUAGAGAAGUUCCAAGUUGCAAAUAUAUAAUAAACCUAUCAUAGAGAAAUAAAACAAUAACACUGACUGGUCGACGAAUGAAUAUACCUGUUGAACUUGACUUUCGUUCUCAUCUUCGGGUACUCUACUCUGUGUUCCCUUUAUACGUACUUUUACCGUGUUAGUACUAAAUCAAACCAGUCGUUCAUGGAUUAAUGUUCAGUAGUCGAUUGCUAAGAGGGGUUCUUCACAAGCCUUACUCGUUUCUUUCGAAAUUACUCUUCUUAUAACUACAACAUGUUAUCGACCUUCUAGUGUUCUCUAGCUGGAAAACCUACCAGAUUAUGAAGGAUAUACCCGUGUAUCUUUUCGGUGAUGCGCAACGACUUCGACCUCAGUACUACCGCAAUCAUUGGAACCACUACGAAGAAUAUGCCGUUUGGUUGAACAAGAACUAAUAGGAUACCCAAUAAAUAGGUCUACAACGUGUAUCCUCAUGACACCUCGAUUAUUAAUAAACUUAGACUCGAUCGGAUGAUAAAGUUAGACUCCAGUUUUUAAUGUUUAGAGUCACAAACAAAAGUCCAGGGAGUAUGUCACCAAGUCUUUUUUUGGAUAGGUUACCUCUACUACGUACUCCUCGUCGUUUCAGAUACAAGAAAAAGAGCGAGACUUGUUCGUUAGUUGCGCCGUGUACACCUUCAACACUUACCGUGGCCAGAACAGUAUGAAUACUCGUCCUCGUGGCCGGUGUAAUGAGAAGUACGGUGAGACUCGUCAACCGACGACGAACUCUAACUAAAGGUACAACUUCCCUUCCCUCUGGACUAACUCAAGGACAUAUACGUUCCUAUUUAUUCUUCCCCGUAACAGCACCAACAACGACUUCCACAACCAGUCCUCGACUAAUGGCCCUGACUACUGUUCUUACCUCUCGUCCUACUCAUACAGUUGUACGACAAGGAACUGCAACCGGAAGAAGAUACUUCAAGUGUACGUUAAGAGGAGGUACCAAUCUUUUUUGAUUAAAUUUGUAAAACAAAGAACCUACCAAUGAGUAAAGAGAACGGCAACAACAUAGUUUUGUUAACGUAAAAGCAACUACAGACGAACCCGAGUAAAAGUUCCUCUUACUCUACACCUUAUUUGAUGAGACUUUACCAACCAAGGGAAGUUUGUUAAAUAAUCGAUUGAUUAAAACCGACUACAACGU
rnacentral:rRNA from 1 species